GCCAGAAUUGGUCACCUGUCCAGUGUUUUUCAAUUACUGUGAUAGCGUUACACUUCUGAGAGAUAAAGACACGGCUUUUCUUGCUCAGUGUUAAUGUCAUUGUUCUAGUGAAUUGUCAUUGGCUUUGGGCAGUAUUUGGCGUCUUAGAGAGUGCGCCCAAAACUAGCUUUGGCUGUUGGGUGCUAGACUGGAAGCAUACACU